rnacentral:misc_RNA from 1 species
GAAGAGAAAGAUCAUUUGAAGAUACAAAUUGAAACAGCUAUUGCAGCACUCAAUGAUCCAGAAAGUCCUAUGAGCAUGUAAUUAAUAUAAUAAUCUCUUUGUUAUGAAUAUGAAUAUGAAUAUUGAGACAUUUUGGCAUUGGAUUUCUUUCACUUGUUUUCCUCCUUUGUCUUCUUCUGCUCUUUCUUUUGUGGGUCGUUGUUUGCUUGAUGAACAUUUUGUAGUUUUGUCUACCUUCUUUGUUACUUGUCUCUCUUUUUCCAAAGAAAUUAUCAUACUCCUAAUGUAUUACAAGUUAGCAAUAAUUGUUUUGAUGUUUC